GCCAGGACCUGUAUAUACGAAUCGAAGCUUCAAAACAAGGUGCGUGUUUUGAUAAAGUCUUUUUCCCUACUGAUAACUUUUCAUUAAACAACAAACUUGGUGAAGGAGGAUUUGGACCUGUUUACAAGGUAUACAGUGCAAAUUUGUUGGAACGGUAACUAGUUUAUGCUCAAGAUCAGAGUGCUAAAAAUGAUUUUAUUCUGCAAU
rnacentral:misc_RNA from 1 species